rnacentral:lncRNA from 10 species
CUGUCGCCUAGGCUGGAGUGCAGUGGCGCGAUCUCGGCUCACUGCAAGCUCUGCCUCCCGGGUUCACGCCUCAGCCUCCCUAGUAGCUGGGAUUACAGGCACGUGCCACCAUGCCUGGCUAAUUUUUUGUAUUUUUAGUAGAGACAGGGUUUUACCAUGUUAGCCAGGAUGGUCUCCAUCUCCUGACUUCGUGAUCCGCCUGCCUCGGCCUCCCAAAGUGCUGGGAUUACAGGUGUGAGCCACCGUACCCGGCCAGAAGAAAACUCUUACUACAAACCUUUCCAUAUUAUGAGAAAACAUCUUGUCCUUUUAAAAUAAAUAGAAACUCAAGAUACAGAUUGGGAUGAGACUCACUUUGGAAAAAUGGGAAGUUACUAUAUCAACCGUACAUUUUUCUUUGAUGUGCACCCGCCCCUGGGAAAGAUGCUGAUAGGUCUUGCUGGCUACCUGAGUGGAUAUGAUGGUACCUUUUUGUUCCAGAAGCCUGGGGAUAAAUAUGAGCAUCACAGCUACAUGGGAAUGAGAGGAUUCUGUGCAUUCCUUGGCUCCUGGCUGG